rnacentral:rRNA from 1 species
UACGGAGGAUGCAAGCGUUAUCCGGAAUGAUUGGGCGUAAAGCGUCCGCAGGUGGCUAUGUAAGUCUGCUGUUAAAGAGUGAGGCUCAACCUCAUAAGAGCAGUGGAAACUACAUGGCUAGAGUGCGUUCGGGGCAGAGGGAAUUCCUGGUGUAGCGGUGGAAUGCGUAGAGAUCCGGAAGAACACCUGAGGCGAAGACGGCUUGCUGGGCAUGAUCUGACGCUGAGGCGCGAAAGCGUGGGGAGCAAACAGG